rnacentral:rRNA from 1 species
AGCGAACGCUGGCGGCAGGCCUAACACAUGCAAGUCGAACGGAAAUACGAUUUCGGUUGUAUUUUAGUGGCGAACGGGUGAGUAACGCGUGAGCAACCUGACCUUCAGAGGGGGAUAACAUUUGGAAACAGAUGCUAAUACCGCAUAAGACCACGACCCGAAAUCGGGAUGCGGUCAAAGGAGCAAUCCGCUGAGGGAGGGACUCGCGUCCCAUUAGAUAGAUGGCGGGGUAACGGCCCACCAUGUCGACGAUGGGUAGCCGAGCUGAGAGGCUGAUCGGCCACACUGGAACUGAGACACGGUCCAGACUCCUACGGGAGGCAGCAGUGGGGAAUAUUGGGCAAUGGGCGCAAGCCUGACCCAGCAACGCCGCGUGAGGGAAGAAGGCUUUCGGGUUGUAAACCUCUAUCCUUGGUGACGAAACAAAUGACGGUAGCCAAGAAGGAAGCCCCGGCUAACUACGUGCCAGCCGCCGCAGUAA